AAAAAAACCAGCCUGACCAACAUGGUGAAACCCCCUCUCUACUAAAAAUACAAAAAUUAGCCAGGGAUGGUGGCGCACGCCUAUAAUCCCAGCUACUCAGGAGGCUGAGGCAGGAGAAUCGCUUGAACUCAGGAGGCGGAGGUUGCAGUGAGCCAAGAUCACGUCACUGCACUCCAGCCUGGGCAACAGAGUGAGGCUCCAUCUCAAAAAAAACAAAAGAAAAGAAAAUAUGCCCUCUACCUUCUGAGCCUGAGGAGAAAAAAAAGAAAAUAUGCUCUGUUGUUCUGCCCCUCAGAUUUAUUUUCGUGUUUUUGUAGGAUCAGACAAAGGUGAAAAUGAAGCAAUGGAAUCCUGUAAGUAAGAAGUUUUGUGAUACUUAAGUAGCCUGGCCUGCAUCCCAAAAAUUUAGAUUCUAAAUCUUCUGUGUUCAUUUUUCUGCCUGAGGAAUACUGCUGUGCCAAGUGGCUCCUCAAGGCGAUAGAUUGGGUUGCUCCCUUGCUGUUGGCAUGGCCUCUUCACCAGUGUCUACACUCUUUUUCCCCAGCUGGGAAGCGGGCCCCUCAGUGCUACCCCAGUUCCGUCAACUCUGCCAGGACUGUGAUGCUGUUCAACCUUGGCAGUGCUUACUGCCUGAGGAGCGAAUAUGACAAAGCCCGAAAGUGUCUCCACCAGGCGGCUUCAAUGAUCCAUCCUAAAGAGGUGCCCCCUGAGGCCAUCUUGCUGGCAGUCUACCUUGAACUGCAGAAUGGU
rnacentral:sRNA from 1 species